GAUGAACGCUAGCUACAGGCUUAACACAUGCAAGUCGCGGGGCAGCAUGGGGGUUGCUUGCAAUCCCCGAUGGCGACCGGCGCACGGGUGAGUAACGCGUAUCCAACCUGCCCUUCACCACGGGAUAACCCGGCGAAAGUCGGACUAAUACCGUAUGUUGUCCAUUGACGGCAUCCGAUUUGGACGAAAGGUUUGGCGGUGAAGGAUGGGGAUGCGUCCGAUUAGCUGGACGGCGGGGUUACGGCCCACCGUGGCGACGAUCGGUAGGGGUUCUGAGAGGAAGGUCCCCCACACUGGAACUGAGACACGGUCCAGACUCCUACGGGAGGCAGCAGUGAGGAAUAUUGGUCAAUGGGCGUAAGCCUGAACCAGCCAAGUAGCGUGCAGGAUGACGGCCCUAUGGGUUGUAAACUGCUUUUAUGCGGGGAUAAAGUGGCCCACGUGUGGGUUUUUGCAGGUACCGCAUGAAUAAGGACCGGCUAAUUCCGUG
rnacentral:rRNA from 1 species